UUAGCUCAGUUGGUAGAGCAACGCACUCGUAACGCGUAGGUCGUAGGUUCGACUCCUA
rnacentral:tRNA from 1 species